CACGGGGGGAGCAAGCGUUGUUCGGAUUCAUUGGGCGUAAAGGGCUCGUAGGCCGCUCUGUAAGUCGGAGGUGAAAGACCACGGCUCAACCGUGGAACCGCUUUCGAAACUGUGGAGCUUGAGGCCGGGAGAGGAGAUUGGAAUUCCUGGUGUAGCGGUGAAAUGCGUAGAUAUCAGGAGGAACACCCGUGGCGAAGGCGAAUCUCUGGACCGGUUCUGACGCUGAUGAGCGAAAGCUAGGGGAGCAAACAGG
rnacentral:rRNA from 1 species